rnacentral:rRNA from 1 species
GACGAACGCUGGCGGCGUGCCUAAUACAUGCAAGUCGAACGCAGUGGGGACGGGUGAGUAACACGUGGCUAACCUCCCAUCAGAGGGGAUAACACUUGGAAACAGGUGCUAAACUGAUACUGAUGGAUGGACUCGCGGUGCAUUAGCUAGUUGGUGAGGGAACGGCUCACCAAGGCCACGAUGCAUAGCCGGCCUGAGAGGGUGAUCGGCCACACUGGGACUGAGACACGGCCCAGACUCCUACGGGAGGCAGCAGUGGGGAAUCUUCGGCAAUGGGCGAAAGUCUGAUCGAGCAACGCCGCGUGAGUGAAGAAGGUUUUCGGGUCGUAAAGCACUGUUGUUAGAGAGGCGGUAUCUAACCAAAAAGCAACGGCUAACUACGUGCCAGCAGCCGCGGUAAUAC